UACGAAAUGGGUUUGGUAUUUCCAAACAUUUCAAUUUUGGCAUUUUGCAUUUUUGGCGUUAUGCUUGUUUGAUACUUUGCGUAAUGCAUCUUUCACAUUG